UAGUGAAUGCUCAGGACCUCCCAGUUUCCAGUUCAUCCAGGUUGCUGUGGAUGACUAGAGAUAGCAUCCUACUCUUACUUCUAGCACAAAAUAGUCAAAUAAUGUGGCUUAUUUUUGUCUUUUCUGUAUUUCUGAAGAUAUAAACUUUGAUGUCAAACAUUUCUGGGUUGGAAGGAGAGACAAAUUUAUAUGUCAGCUGUGCUGCACAUGUAUGGCUUAUGGAGGAGGCUAACUUGUGUCAAGGUUUUGCUGGAAAUGUCCUCAUUUUUCAGAACUCUACAAAAACCUCUGGAAAGUGCAGUCUGUUCCUACAUAUAUGUAUAUACAUACUCUGAGAAACAGGACUGGGAAUUUGUUUCUUAUGAUUGCUUUAGCAGAUUGUAGUAGGCAACAGGAGACGUGAUGGAUUUAUCAAGAUGUGGCAAUAUGAGGGCCACAAUUAGAGUCCUGGAGGGAAAGGGAUCAAAUGUUUCUUUCAGGACUUCAAGUUUCAGGAACCUCAGCACAGUGUGGCACUCUAUUUUCAGUACCAGGAAACUGAUUUAAGUAACACAUAAAAAAUUGAUCCAUGAGAUCAGAUGGGAUAAUCUGAGCAUUCUGGAAGACUAGCUGUUUUCACCGGGAGACAGUUCUCUAUCAUUUUUCAAAAGUCAUAGGGUUCAGGAUAAAUUCCAGACAACAGGAAAAAAAGUUGUACACAAUUUCAAGAGGAACAAUCUGGAGAACUGAUAUGUGGUCAGCCUCACCUAACAGAAAUAUUAUGGUGCAAAUCCCCAUGGAAGCCAUUUACAGGCAAAUGAAGAAUGAGAAGGAUGAAACAGAAGGUAUUCUUUCAAGAGGAACUUUCUUUUAAUUUUGCAGUAUGCCAGGGGUACAUAAGAACUGCUAUCAGCAAUCAGAAGUCAAAGGUAAAAAAAUAAAACCAGUGUGCUGCAGAGAAAACCAAAUUUACUCUUCCAUUGUGACCAUUCUAUUGGAUUCACACUUGAAGAAGGCAUUAAUUUCUUUCUGAUCAGGAGAUCAUAGAAUCACAGAAUGGCCUGGAUUGAAAAGGACCUCAAAGAUCAUCUAGUUUCAACCUCCCUGCAGGGUAUGAACUUUCAUUUCCUCUGAUAGCUGCUCAUGAAAUGUGGAAGAUCUCAAAACACCGUGUUUGUAAAUAUUUCUAAAGAAUAAAAUAUUCAGUGUGCUUCCAUUUAGUAAACUAUGAUUAGUAACCUGAUGUCCUAAAAUGUGAAGUUAUUGUGGAAAAUUGGCUUAGGUGUUGUUCCUUUUGAAACUUAUUUUUCACUCAAGAUAAGACUUGUUGAUGUGGAAAGCAUUAAAAAUUUUUUCAUUUAAUAAUGCACUUUGUGAAGACAAAAAAGCAAGGAAUCUCCAAGAUUUUCUUGAGGUAGUUGUCCACGGAUACUAAUUCUUUCUCAAAACAUGAUAUUUAAUCCUUGUUUUAAACUAUGAUUAUUAAUUGAGUGGAAUUUUUGUUCUUUACACAUCAGUUAAAAUCUGAUGUGGCAUAUAUGAAUACUAACAUUUUUUAUAAUCUACAGUGUACUUUAUCCCAAGGUAUAAUGCAGAUUAGAGAAAAAUAUAUAAAAUCAGUGCUCUUUCAGUUUAGC